ACUAUUUUUUUUCUUUUUUCGGAAUUUCAUAAUUCAUAUGUCCAAACGACCACUAAUUACAUUGAAAAUGCAGAAAAAGGGCAUAUUGGUCUUAGAAAUAUCCGUGAGAAUGAUAGACCCCAUGCCCGAAAUAUCCGUGAGAAUGAUAGACCCCCAUGCCCGAAAUAUCCGUGAGAAUGAUAGACCCCCAUGCCCGAAAUAUUGGAAGGCAACAGAUGAAAUAGAAAAGGAACAAUUGCUGAAGUAUAUGGAUUAGUUGGAUCAGAACUAAAAAUUAUUAAAUUUGUAAGUACACUAUUUAGGCUAAAUACAUAAUUAAGCAGCCCCUAGUAGUCGCUAAUUUUUAUCUUGAGACACGAUUUAAGACUUGUUCCUAUUAGACAAUCCAACGACAUACAUAGUAGUUUUAUCGACCAAAUAUAUGCAAAAGUAUGUGCACACACUAACUAAAAAGGGAUAACUCAGUAAUAAGCCAUAGCUUUUGAAUAUUUUCUCUUGGAAUAAUCACAAACAAGAACCCCUCCAUGUAACUGCACAGCUUCAUGACUGUUAAUAACUCUGUCUUCACUUGCAUAAGCUGGUUUGAACUGAAGAAGAUUAGAUUUCUGAGGUUGGUGUUGGUAAUAGAAAUUUUUAUUGGUUGUUUUUAUAGCAGCAGAAGAAGGAGGAAUACUAGGCUUUCCUUUACUUCUUCCAUAGAUUUGUUCGUCAAGUAGAGCAAAGGCUUCUUGGCCUAUUUUGGAAAUAUCUUUUCUUGGUGCCAUUUUCAUAAAAACUUAUGUGUAAAAAGUUGAUAUUUUGGUUAGCAGUAGAAAGGAGAGAAGUUGGUUGUAUGUAUUGU
rnacentral:lncRNA from 1 species